ACGGUGAGUAACACGUAUCCAACCUGCCGUCUACUCUUGGACAGCCUUCUGAAAGGAAGAUUAAUACAAGAUGGCAUCAUGAGUCCGCAUGUUCACAUGAUUAAAGGUAUUCCGGUAGACGAUGGGGAUGCGUUCCAUUAGAUAGUAGGCGGGGUAACGGCCCACCAAAGCGACGAUGGAUAGGGGUUCUGAGAGGAAGGUCCCCCACAUUGGAACUGAGACACGGUCCAA
rnacentral:rRNA from 1 species